GUGGGGAAUCUUCCGCAAUGGACGAAAGUCUGACGGAGCAACGCCGCGUGAGUGAUGAAGGUUUUCGGACUGUAAAGCUCUGUUGUUUAGGACGAAAGUGCCUGUUGCGAAUAGUUACAGGUAUUGACGGUACUGAACGAGGAAGCCACGGCUAACUACGUGCCAGCAGCCGCGGUAAUACGUAGGUGGCAAGCGUUGUCCGGAAUUAUUGGGCGUAAAGAGCAUGUAGGCGGGAAUCUGAGUCUGUUGUGGAAAUGCGGGGCUCAACCCCGUAUUGCGAUGGAAACUGGGUUUCUUGAGUGCAGGAGAGGAAAGGGGAAUUCCCAGUGUAGCGGUGAAAUGCGUAGAUAUUGGGAGGAACACCAGUGGCGAAGGCGCCUUUCUGGACUGUGUCUGACGCUGAGAUGCGAAAGCCAGGGUAGCGAACGGGAUUAGAAACCCUAGUAGUCC
rnacentral:rRNA from 1 species